UUAAAUCUAAUUACGAAGAUGUUUUUGUGGUGUCUCCUUAUUAUCCUCUUUUUGAUCUUUCCAUUAUCUUUUUCUAGCUUGCAUCUUCACUCUUGUCAGCCUUAUCCGGUCACGGUGAACCAACUAACCGAACAUAGAUCACCCCUUCAAUUGGGUUUACCUUUGCGCCGAUAAAAACUAUGCCACUUCUAUUAGGUAUUAGGUUGUAUUGGUAGGUUAACCCCAAUAUUGCUUUCUAAUUGUGGAGAUGGGGUGGAUGAUUUUGGGGACACAAAUGAAUCAUCUUAUUUGUUGGUUUCUUGAUCUUAUUUGUUGGUUUCUUGCUCUGCUUUUUUCUCUGUAAUCAUUACCUUCAUCUAUUUUGAUCUUCAACCCAAACUACAACCAACUAAAUGAAGCUCCGAUAGAGUGUGGGUUCAAUUUUAACAAAGAGGAAGACCUUUUGCGAUUACAUCCUGUUGGAAGACCUUUACUUGAAAAUCAAAUUAACUAUGUUAAGGUUUGAAAAAGAAUGAAGAGUUACUAAUGGAUUUGGGUGUGAUUUGUUUCAGUUAAUAGGGAGAGAUAUAGUAAUUAGGUAUUGUGUUUGAGGCAAAUUAGUCGCGAUUUGAAUUAGUUCACGGGUGUAUUUAAUUAAGAUUUUUAAAGACUUUUAAAGAUUUUAAAAAAGUUUAGUUGUAUUCAAUCAAGACAUUUAAAGAGUU
rnacentral:lncRNA from 1 species